AUGCCCGAGCGAGCACGCGCGCGCGCUCACGCUCGCCGGCAUACAGACACACGGAGAGUCAGGCUAGCAUCUGAUGCUGACUCAGAGCGCUUCUGUGUGCAAGGGGUGGCGGCGGCUGGUAUUUUCACUGCGCUCAUCAUUAACAUUAACGCACAGUCUGGCAUCCACCCUCUCCCAGACCUGCUGGACUGCGGCAUUUGCAUGACGCUGUCACUCUUGCCUCUGCAGGAAUUAGAAGACCAGCCCUGCCAGGAUCUGACUAAUCAAUGUGAUUUACACUGUGGUGAAAUGCUAAAUUGUGGACUGACAUCAACCAACAAGGGCAUUGGAACACUGCACCCUAUCCAAAGCAGAGAACUGGCAUUCCUGUCUAUCACUGGCUGUACUGAUACAUGAUCUGGAAGAAG
ensembl:lincRNA